CUUUACAGCCGGACUUAUCUCGGGUACUUCACGUUGAUCAACGUAGGGUGCCAAACCAUAAACAACCGCCAGACCAACAGUAGUAGAAAGCGUCCAUCCUAAACUGACUACAAGCUUUCAAGAUAACCAUUAAAUCGAAAUGAAGAAUGCUUGGUGACGUGUAAAUACCAGCCCGUCCAGAUGCCUACCAUAUUGAUUUGCUGAAAUUUCAACUUACUUUGCAAGGCCCACAAGCUCCGAUUAGUGUACAGAUUAUGAACGUAAAACUGGCUAUCAUUUAGACAUUUUUCGCUGAUGUUGGUGGCCACGGCGGUUGGAAACGAAGAAGAUUUCAGUGUAACAAAAACGUCGUGAAAAUUCCAGGACUUUGCCAGCGUCCGGCGGUAUGGACAAACCUUCAUUCAUAAGCUGAUGGGAUUCCACUCCAAACGAGACUACAAGAAAAAGAAGCAUCCAUGUAGAAUCCAUGUUGCCCCUGCGAAACUGUAAAAAGCUCGGUACGUUUAACUAGUUGACUAGCGAUUGUUUUUAUAAGCUUCCGAUGAUUAUCCAGGUUCUGAACGGGUUUGGCACAUUUUUCACUUGUCAGUUAUAAUCUUAUCAGAUGGAAAAAGGCGUAACGUUUUUUGACAGUAUGGGUUUCUGUUAUCACAAUGGCAUAGCUCUAUCCGGCAUAGAAUCUACGUACUCAUCUUAUUUCUCAUUAAUUUUAGUAAAAUCGCGUUGGCAGCUAUACUGAGAAAAAUACUCAAUUGAUUAGUAGUAAAUGUAUU